GGCAUCAAAGUAGUAGGACUACCCGCUGAACUUAAGCAUAUCAAUAAGCGGAGGAAAAGAAACUAACAAGGAUUCCCCUAGUAACUGCGAGUGAAGCGGGAAAAGCUCAAAUUUAAAAGCCUUCGGGCGUUGUAAUCUAAAGAAGUGUUUUCGGUCGUUGCCUCGGAUAAGUCUCUUGGAACAGAGUGUCAAAGAGGGUGAGAAUCCCGUUCUUGCCGAGCUACCAACGUCUAUGUGAUACACUUUCAAAGAGUCGAGUUGUUUGGGAAUGCAGCUCAAAAUGGGUGGUAAACUCCAUCUAAAGCUAAAUAUUGGCGAGAGACCGAUAGCGAACAAGUACCGUGAGGGAAAGAUGAAAAGCACUUUGGAAAGAGAGUUAAACAGUACGUGAAAUUGUUAAAAGGGAAACGC
rnacentral:rRNA from 1 species